AUGGAUAGGUGUAUUACAGAUUGUGGGGUUGUGGAUGUGUAUGUGAAUUAUGAAGAUGAUGUUGAUGAAGAUGGACAGAACAGUGUGUCUGAUAUUGGAGAGAAAGAGGAAGAGGAAACUAAUGCUGCAAUUGAAGAAGAGAAGACAGAAGAGAAGAGUGACAGUGAUUGGGAAGAUGAGCAUGACAAUUGCUCUGCUGAGGAUGACCUGGAGCACAGUUCAGAGGAAGAUGGGGAUGAGCCUGAUAAGACUGAGUAUGCUGUACAGGAUGAAUUGCAACCUGAAACUGGAAAUGUUCCUUCAGUAGAUGUUGCACCAGAUGAAAUAAGUGAUGAAUGUGAAGAUCUUGAUUGGUGCCCUAAAGAUGAAGACAGUUCAGGUGAAGAUGAUGAGGCAGAGGAGCUCAGAACGCAUGCUAAGGAAGUGCUCAGAAAGAUCAGAAUGAAGUUGCCACUUGAUGAAGAGAAGGAAGUGAAAGAAAGUACAGCACAGUUAAUUCCUUUUGAUGAAAUGGAUGAAGGAAAUGACACUCCAUACAUGGAUUCCAGUGAGGAAUACAGUUAUGAUGAGGAUGAGCAUGGAAAUUCAGUUAGGAUGAAAUCUAGAUUUCCAAGAUUUGAUAGCAAGGCUGCAAUUCCAAUAUUUAGUUUGGGCAUGACAUUUAGGGGAAGAAGUCAGUUCAAGAGGGCACUGGUGUAG
rnacentral:rRNA from 1 species